ACUCCUACGGGAGGCAGCAGUAGGGAAUUUUCGGCAAUGGGCGAAAGCCUGACCGAGCAACGCCGCGUGAGUGAUUAAGGCCUUCGGGUUGUAAAGCUCUGUUGUAAGGGAAGAACGAUCAGUAUAGGAAAUGAUACUGAAGUGACGGUACCUUACCAGAAAGCCACGGCUAACUACGUGCCAGCAGCCGCGGUAAUAC
rnacentral:rRNA from 1 species